ACCGUCCUUAUCUGGGGGUGCGCGGCCGCCCGAUGAGCGCCUGGCGAGGGCGGCCCUGCUGACACCGCAACAACACAGUCGCGCCCGCCUUGCGCGAGGCGCAAUUUUUGGAACC